rnacentral:rRNA from 1 species
UACGGGGGGAGCAAGCGUUGUUCGGAUUCACUGGGCGUAAAGGGUGCGUAGGUGGUGAGGUAAGUCGGAUGUGAAAGCUCCGAGCUCAACUCGGAAAUGGCAUUGGAAACUACCUUGCUAGAGGGUUUGAGGGGGGACUGGAAUACUUGGUGUAGCAGUGAAAUGCGUAGAUAUCAAGUGGAACACCAGUGGCGAAGGCGAGUCCCUGGAAAACUCCUGACACUGAGGCACGAAAGCUAGGGGAGCAAACAGG